GUCCUGUUAGCUCAGCAGGUAGAGCAUUUGACUUUUAAUCAAAGGGUCUGGGAUUCGAGUUCCCAACAGGACA
rnacentral:tRNA from 1 species